CAGUGUGGCUUCAGGAGAAAGACUGGGAGAUGAGGCAGUUUGGAUUGGAAAGGCAGUGUGGCUUCAGGAGAAAGGCUGGGAGAUGAGGCAGUUUGGAUUGAAAGGCAGUGUUGCUUCAGGAGAAAGGCUGGGAGAUGAGGCAGUUUGGAUUGGAAAGGCAGUGUGGCUUCAGGAGAAAGACUGGGAGAUGAGGCAGUUUGGAUUGGAAAGGCAGUGUGGCUUCAGGAGAAAGGCUGGGAGAUGAGGCAGUUUGGAUUGGAAAGGCAGUGUGGCUUCAGGAGAAAGGCUGGGAGAUGAGGCAGUUUGGAUUGGAAAGGCAGUGUGGCUUCAGGAGAAAGGCUGGGAGAUGAGGCAGUUUGGAUUGGAAAGGCAGUGUGGCUUCAGGAGAAAGGCUGGGAGAUGAGGCAGUUUGGAUUGGAAAGGCAGUGUUUCUUCAGGAGAAAGGCUGGGAGAUGAGGCAGUUUGGAUUGGAAAGGCAGUGUUUCUUCAGGAGAAAGGCUGGGAGAUGAGGCAGUUUGGAUUGGAAAGGCAGUGUUUCUUCAGGAGAAAGGCUGGGAGAUGAGGCAGUUUGGAUUGGAAAGGCAGUGUUUCUUCAGGAGAAAGGCUGGGAGAUGAGGCAGUUUGGAUUGGAGAGGCAGUGUUUCUUCAGGAGAAAGGCUGGGAGAUGAGGCAGUUUGGAUUGGAAAGGCAGUGUUGCUUCAGGAGAAAGGCUGGGAGAUGAGGCAGUUUGGAUUGAAAGGCAGUGUUGCUUCAGGUGAAAGGCUGGGAGAUGAGGCAGUUUGGAUUGGAAAGGCAGUGUUUCUUCAGGUGAAAGGCUGGGAGAUGAGGCAGUUUGGAUUGGAAAGGCAGUGUUUCUUCAGGAGAAAGGCUGGGAGAUGAGGCAGUUUGGAUUGGAAAGGCAGUGUUUCUUCAGGUGAAAGGCUGGGAGAUGAGGCAGUUUGGAUUGAAAGGCAGUGUUUCUUCAGGAGAAAGGCUGGGAGAUGAGGCAGUUUGGAUUGAAAGGCAGUGUUUCUUCAGGUGAAAGGCUGGGAGAUGAGGCAGUUUGGAUUGAAAGGCAGUGUUUCUUCAGGUGAAAGG